rnacentral:lncRNA from 1 species
UAUACUCGCAUGGAUGAAGGCACUUUUGACUGGUGUCAGAUAGAAAAAAAAGAUCAGAAAAAGAAAUAAAAAAAUUAAAGCUCUGACCAAACCAAGUCGAUCAACAACCAAUAAAGAAGCUUCACCCUGCCGAUGAAAUCCCAGGCUAAAUAAUUAUGGCGGCAGGUAUGACUUUUAUACUUUUCUUUCUACUCCAUGUGUGCAGAUCUUAAUAGAGAUCGAAGGAGAGGAAUAACUUCGACAUCCCCCAUCGAUAAAAGCACCA